rnacentral:lncRNA from 1 species
UCAGAAUCCAAGAGAAAUGUGUUUACAAUGGAGGAUUCUGGCUGUAGCCCAAUUAUCAAUCAAGUAGAAAGAUUAUAAGCAAGUAUGUAAAACCUCAGAAAACUGAUGUCUCCUGCCGGUUCAGCACCGUGAAUAAGCCAGCCAGGAAAGAAAGCAACACAAGACCCUGCACAGAGAGACUGAAGUGUAACAAUGUAGCGAGCAGAGGCCAGCUCUCCAUCAGCCCAGAGUGAGUCAGCACAACCAAGGCUACAGAUGCCUCAGAGGGAAACUGGAUAGUACAGGACUCCGAGGGCUUAACUAUAAGAACCAUGUCAAGGGACAUUUUCCAAACGGAAGGUUUGGGCAGAGCUGAGCUGGACAUGUGAAAAGAAUAGAAGACCUCAAAUCACUGAGUGGGAAGCUGCUUGUUCCAGAAAGAAAAAGACGCCUAAGAGGAAGAGCCGUCUCCAGAAUUCAGAAGCCCACAAGCCACCUCCCCUUGCCCUCGGAGGGCAUGAUAGCAUCCCCACUGGUACAGAGAGGCAAAUCCCAGAGCCCUGGAUGCAGUCAAGUGGAUGAAAUCUCACCAUGCGUCUCAUGCAUCUCGGCUCCUGCUUUGCCCUGUGCCCUCACUUCCUUCCAGGUGAACAUCAGUAACUAUUUCAUAUAGCAGAAACAGAGACUUUAAUAACAUGGAACUGGUAGCCAUGGAAGAGCUGCUGAGAUGCCAAAGAAAAAGCAAAGCUGGCCAGAGGACAGCAUCAGUCGAACAUCAUCAAUAUCAUGGCUAAUACACCAGGACACCCAGGAAGGACACAGACUUACCAUUUUGUAACCUUAGAGGUCAGAGUCUUAGUAAAGGCUGUGUUUGUUCAGAGUUUGGGGAUAAACUCUUGCCUUUUCCAGCUCCCAGAUAGUGUUUACUAAUUCAACUCAUGGCCUGUGUCCCUCCAACCUCUGUCUCUGUGGUCACAUCUCCUUCCCUGACCUCGGCUCUCCCCCGUAUCUUAUGGAGACCAUUUGCCUUUGGCCACGUGAACAAUCCUGUACCAUCUUUUCACCUCGAGAUCCACAAUUUAAUCCUGUCUGGAAAGAAAGCUGUUUGCUCUCCCAGGCUUUGGACAAGCCAUUGUUCCAUUUACCACUGUCACCAUUUAGGGAAGUCACACACUUAUUGUAAUACUCUUCUCUCGUUGGUGUCUUGCUGUGUCCUCCAGAGCCCCAUUGUCAGACAUUCAAUUUAAAAAGGUCCUUACUGUCAGACUCCUACCCUGCAGGCAUGGAGGGAGGGAAGGAUAAUGAAGCCUUGGACAGUCAGCCCAGGAAUCCCAGACAACAGAACUCUUUACAGUUUCAUGAAGCAUCGAACAAGUGCUGUGGUCCACACUGUCAGAAGCUCCGCAUUAAAGUGUAAUGAUGGCUGCAGAGGCGGAGUGGCCAGGAAGAGCAGGAAGGCCGCGAGUGAAGGGAAAGGAAAACAUAUCAACUGAGACUGGGAAGAGAGAGUCAGAAGGAGCCCCACUGGACUUGCCUGGGUUGCAGUAAACACCUUGGGCUGUCUCUAUGAAGAUAAAGCUGUCAAUUAAAACUAACUGUAAAUUCUGAAGAUAAAAGUGGAAAUAGCCACAUUGCCUCAGACCCAUUGCUGUGAGCGACUAUAUCCCAAUCUACACCAGUCUCUUAAGAUUCACUAAAAUUACCAGUGAAGUCAACAAGAUCUGGAAUGACACUGACAAUGUAUCCACAAGGCCUUGAAGGGACCUCAGGAGACUCCUCAAUACCACCUGCGUGACCUCCUGGUUGUGGCUGCUGAACAUGUCACUUCACACUAGCCUCCAAGGUGGCCUCCUCGAAAAGCUCUGGCCAAGAUACAGAAAUCCCUUCUCUUACUUCCCUUAGGAUUACUGCAGCUGUCUCAAACCAACAGAAGGGCGGGGGGACAUAGAAACUGUCCUGGCUUACACACCCUGGCUCUGCCACAGUGAGCUACUAUGGGCCUUGAAGGUCCUGACAAGACUGUCAUUCAGGUGCAGCAGCUGCACUGGAAUCUGCUUCCCAUGGACAUAGGUGAACUCUAUAGGA